rnacentral:rRNA from 1 species
UACAGAGAGUGCGAGCGUUAAUCGGAAUCACUGGGCGUAAAGCGCACGUAGGUGGAUAUUUAAGUCGGAUGUGAAAUCCCUGGGCUUAACCUAGGAAUUGCAUUCGAUACUGGAUAUCUAGAGUAUGGUAGAGGGAAGUGGAAUUUCCGGUGUAGCGGUGAAAUGCGUAGAUAUCGGAAAGAACAUCAGUGGCGAAGGCGGCUUCCUGGACCAAUACUGACACUAAAGUGCGAAAGCGUGGGGAGCAAACAGG